rnacentral:rRNA from 1 species
GAGUUUGAUCCUGGCUCAGAACGAACGCUGGCGGCAUGGCUAAGACAUGCAAGUCGAACGGACCGCAGUAGCAAUAUUGCGGUUAGUGGCGAAAGGGUGAGUAAUGCAUGGGUAACGUACCUCGAACUCGGGGAUAACAGCGGGAGCAAUCCCUUUAGCGAAAGUGCUGCUAAUACCCGAUGAAGUCACCGGGUCGCAUGGCCUGGUGAUCAAAGAUGGGGACCGCAAGGCCUAUCGGUUUGGGAGCGGCCCAUGUCCUAUCAGCUAGUUGGCAGGGUAACGGCCUACCAAGGCAGCGACGGGUAGCGGGACUGAGAGGUUGGCCCGCCACAUCGGGACUGAGACACUGCCCGGACACCUACGGGUGGCUGCAGUAACGAAUAUUGGGCAAUGGGCGCAAGCCUGACCCAGCAAUGCCGCGUGCAGGAGGAAGUCCUUCGGGAUGUAAACUGCUGUCAGGGGUCAACAAGCAAAGGGACCUAAUACGUCCUGGCGUUGAGUCGCCCCAGAGGAAGCCUCGACUAACUCUGUGCCAGCAGUCGCGGUAAGACAGAGGAGGCAAGCGUUGUUCGGAAUCACUGGGCUUGAAGCGCGUGUAGGCGGCUUGGUAAGUGUCGUGUGAAAUCCCAUGGCUCAACCAUGGAACUGCACGGCAAACUACCUGGCUUGAGGUCGGUAGAGGUGCCUGGAACUCUAGGUGGAGCGGUGAAAUGCGUAGAUAUCGAGAGGAACGCCAGAAGCGAAAGCGGGGCACUGGGCCGAUUCUGACGCUGAGACGCGAAAGCGUGGGGAGCAAACAGGAUUAGAUACCCUGGUAGUCCACGCCGUAAGCGAUGAGUACUAGGUGUUGCGGGUAUUGACCCCUGCAGUGCCGCAGCUAACGCAUUAAGUACUCCGCCUGGGAAGUACGGUCGCAAGACUAAAACUCAAAGGAA